GACGAACCGUGCGAACGUUAUUCGGAAUCACUGGGCUUAAAGGGCGCGUAGGCGGGUCUUCAAGUCAGGGGGGAAAGCCCCCAGCUCAACUGGGGAAGUGCCUUUGAUACUGGGGAUCUCGAGGGAGGUAGGGGCGUGGGGAACUUCCGGUGGAGCGGUGAAAUGCGUAGAUAUCGGAAGGAACACCGGUGGCGAAAGCGGCGCGCUGGAUCUCUUCUGACGCUGAGGCGCGAAAGCCAGGGGAGCAAACGGG
rnacentral:rRNA from 1 species